rnacentral:rRNA from 1 species
GACGAACGCUGGCGGCGUGCUUAACACAUGCAAGUCGAACGGUGAAGCGCCUUCCUUUUUGGUGGGUGUGGAUGAGUGGCGAACGGGUGAGUAACACGCGAGUAACCUGCCCCCUUCUUCUGGAUAACCGCAUGAAAGUGUGGCUAAUACGGGAUAUUCUGGGUCUGUCGCAUGAUGGGUCUGGGAAAGAUAUUGUUUCGGUGGGGGAUGGGCUCGCGGCCUAUCAGCUUGUUGGUGGGGUGAUGGCCUACCAAGGCGGUGACGGGUAGCCGGCCUGAGAGGGUGGACGGUCACACUGGGACUGAGACACGGCCCAGACUCCUACGGGAGGCAGCAGUGGGGAAUAUUGCACAAUGGGCGCAAGCCUGAUGCAGCGACGCCGCGUGAGGGAUGGAGGCCUUCGGGUUGUGAACCUCUUUCGCCAGUGAAGCAGGCCUGCCUCGUUUGUGGGUGGGUUGACGGUAGCUGGAUAAGAAGCGCCGGCUAACUACGUG